CAGUCGUACCUUCGGGUAAUCAGCCUUUCGGGUGCGAUUCUGUGGAGUGUGAGGAGUUAAACACCUUCAUGUUUUGCAUAUUCGUACUCUUGGGUGUACUUGCCCGUGUGGUUGGUUAACAUCAAUUUUGGUGGUCAUAAAAUGACUGGAGGAAUGUAGCUUCGAUCUCGUAUUGAAGUGUUAUAGCCUUCGGUAGAUGUGGUGAUCGAGAUUGAGGAUUGCAACGGAUACCUUUCGGGGCUACCUGCCUGAUCUCUGAUCGUUGUUUUGGUGCUGAAAGCGUGCUUAUAGUUAUCAAAGUCGAUGGUUAAUAGGUUAGAAUGGGUUAAAUUCGUUAAGGAUGUUGACGUAAUGGCUUUAAACGA
rnacentral:rRNA from 1 species